rnacentral:rRNA from 1 species
GACGAACGCUGGCGGCGUGCCUAAUACAUGCAAGUAGAACGCUGAAGGAGGAGCUUGCUUCUCUGGAUGAGUUGCGAACGGGUGAGUAACGCGUAGGUAACCUGCCUGGUAGCGGGGGAUAACUAUUGGAAACGAUAGCUAAUACCGCAUAAGAGUAGAUGUCGCAUGACAUUUGCUUAAAAGGUGCAAUUGCAUCACUACCAGAUGGACCUGCGUUGUAUUAGCUAGUUGGUGAGGUAACGGCUCACCAAGGCAACGAUACAUAGCCGACCUGAGAGGGUGAUCGGCCAAACUGGGACUGAGACACGGCCCAGACUCCUACGGGAGGCAGCAGUAGGGAAUCUUCGGAAAUAGACGGAAGUCUGACCGAGCAACGCCGCGGGAGUGAAGAAGGGUUUCGGAUCGUAAAGCUCUUUUGUAAGAGAAGAACGAGUGUGAGAGUGGAAAGUUCACACUGGGACGGUAUCUAACCAGAAAGGGACGGCUAACUACGUG